AAUAAUCUUAUUUUUCGUUUUUCGUAUUUAUCGUUUGACCAUUCGUCUUAUUUAAAUUAUUUUUGUGAUUAAUAUUUUUAUUAUGACUGGAUAAUAAAAUAUGAAUAGUAUUUUAUACGUGACUAAUUUUCUUAGGUUUUUAUACAAAAUUUUCAAAUAAGACGAAUGGUCAAACGUUGGAAAAAAAACA
rfam:Oryza brachyantha chromosome 3, whole genome shotgun sequence.